GAUCAUGGCGUCAGGAUGAACGCUGGCGGCGUGCCUAACACGAUGCAAGUCGAACGAAGCUUGGGAACGGAGAUUCGUCGAAGAGAACCAAGACUUAGUGGCGGACGGGUGAGUAAUGUAUGAGCAACCUGCCUUUCAGAGGGGGACAACAGUUGGAAACGACUGCUAAUACCGCGUAACGUAUGAUGGGGGCAUCCCUGACAUACCAAAGGAGCAAUCCGCUGAAAGAUGGGCUCAUAUCUGAUUAGCUUGUUGGCGGGGUAACGGCCCACCAAGGCGACGAUCAGUAGCCGGACUGAGAGGUUGAACGGCCACAUUGGGACUGAGAUACGGCCCAGACUCCUACGGGAGGCAGCAGUGGGGAAUAUUGGGCAAUGGGCGAAAGCCCUGACCCAGCAACGCCGCGUGAAGGAAGAAGGUCUUCGGGUUGUAAACUUCUUUUAUGAGGGACGAAGGACGUGACGGUACCUCAUGAAUAAGCCACGGCUAACUACGUGCCAGCCGCGGC
rnacentral:rRNA from 1 species